UUUGUCUGAACACGUGGCAGGAGACAAUGGUUUAAUAGGUGUUGCCUGUUUACCUUCCUUCAUCUCUAACAUUUGUGUUCUUCAGGCACCUUCACUGGGCUUCAAGCCUUGGUAUCAUCUGGGUUUCAAACCUUCCAUCUCUUACUGAGCCAGAGGUGCAGCUGGUCAGGGCUCUGCUAAAGCCGCCUGGUCAACACCUGCCCAGAUGUCUGUUGGCACGUCCAAGAGCUCAGUGAUACAAAUCAUACUGAAUAAUUCUUUGCAGGGCCCAUCAGUGUUUUAUCUGACCCACAUUUAUAGGACUAAGUACUCCAGGAGGUGGAUCAUGGCAAUAGGAAAAUGUUCUGCAAUUGCCCUCCAGUGAACAAGGCUGGGUCCCAACUCAGCAGCAAUCCCUCCCUGGAGGUGAUCCCCCAACCAUAUCUUCUCAAAAGUGGGCCAUUAGAGACAAGAAAUAAAUCAAAGGAAAGCUCAAGACAAAACUUUUGAGCCUGGAAAUCUCACAGGGUGAACCAAAGCAGAUCUCCUGAACCACUUUCAGUGUUCAGGGUGAUGGAACAGGUUUGAGCCCUGUGAGAUGUACAAUUUUCCUGACAGAAUAUCCCAGUUUAACUUCCUAGGGUGACCCUGUAUCCUUUGAGAGGUUGGAAAAGUUUCUGGCAACACCAGGCAGGACUUUAAGAACAAAAUUCUGUGUGUUUGUGGACUUGUAGCAAUAAUUUUAUCCCUGUCAACUUGCUGUGAACUGGGUAGGGAGAGUGGCUAAGGACAGAAAGGCUGUGUGGCUGCUUCAUGAUUUAGCUUAAAACCUCUCUCAAGAACUGCUCAGUAAUUCCUUCUGAAACUGUUUAGCUGUGGUUUCUCUCACAGGCAUGAAGAGGAGGAGUUCAUACCAUAGCUCACUUUCAGAACAACAGAAAGUUUUCUGGUCCAUGUAUGGCUAAAGACCAAGUGCAAUGAAGCUAUGAAGCAUUCCAAUUAUUGCUUCUUUAAAGUAAUAGUGACACAAGAAGGCACUGGACAUCUGUUUCAAGAAGACAAUAUGAAGACAGAAUUGAAGAAGACGAUUUCAGCCUCUCUCAGGAGUUUGGCCAUGACAUCUGCGAGCUGUGAAAGCCUUCUGGCAGUGAUGGAGAGGGUUCUCAGAAAGCUAUUGCCAAGAUGGCCAAAGGAGGAGACCAAGAAUUGCUGUUUUCACUUGAUUACAAAAGGUAAAAAGCACACAGGACAAGGAAGGACAAAAUAGCACAUGCAGAAAUGUCAGCAAUGAGUAUGAAAGUAUCAGCGUGCGAGCUUCAGCUGAAGAGUGAGCCUGGCUGGGAAUAAAUGUUUCCGAAGACCAACA
rnacentral:lncRNA from 1 species